AGUGAACGCUGGCGGUAGGCCUAACACAUGCAAGUCGAACGGCAGCACAAGAGAGCUUGCUCUCUGGGUGGCGAGUGGCGGACGGGUGAGGAAUACAUCGGAAUCUACUCUGUCGUGGGGGAUAACGUAGGGAAACUUACGCUAAUACCGCAUACGACCUACGGGUGAAAGCAGGGGACCUUCGGGCCUUGCGCGAUUGAAUGAGCCGAUGUCGGAUUAGCUGGUUGGCGGGGUAAAGGCCCACCAAGGCGACGAUCCGUAGCUGGUCUGAGUGGAUGAUCAGCCACACUGGAACUGAGACACGGUCCAGACUCCUACGGGAGGCAGCAGUGGGGAAUAUUGGACAAUGGGCGCAAGCCUGAUCCAGCCAUACCGCGUGGGUGAAGAAGGCCUUCGGGUUGUAAAGCCCUUUUGUUGGGAAAGAAAUCCAGCUGGCUAAUACCCGGUUGGGAUGACGGUACCCAAAGAAUAAGCACCGGCUAACUUCGUGCCAGCAGCCGCCGUAA
rnacentral:rRNA from 1 species